GUAAAUUGUACUAAUAUGUUAAAUUUAAAAAUUGUUCCAUAUGAGAAACAAAAAAAAUAUAUAUAACAUAAAAUCAGAAACAAAUAUAUAAUAGUAUAAAAAUGAUCAUUACGAGAUAUAAUUACAACAAAUCCAAAAAAGAAAAACAUAAAAAAAAAAAAAAAUUAUGACAAUAUAUAAAAAGAUAAUGUAAACAAUUUAAAAUACAACAAUCCGCCC
rnacentral:lncRNA from 1 species